rnacentral:rRNA from 1 species
AUUGAACGCUGGCGGCAGGCCUAACACAUGCAAGUCGAACGAGUGGCGGACGGGUGAGUACUGUCUGGUACACUGCCUGAUGGAGGGGGAUAACUACUGGAAACGGUAGCUAAUCCCGCAUACCAUCGGAUGUGCGCAGAUGGGCUUAGCUGGUUGGUGUGGUAACGGCUCACCAAGGCGACGAUCCCUAGCUGGUCUGAGAGGAUGACCAGCCACACUGGAACUGAGAGACGGUCCAGACUCCGACGGGAGGUAGCAGUGGGGAAUAUUGCACAAUGGGCGCAAGGCUGAUGCAGCCAGGCCGCGUGUAGGAAGAAGGCCUUCGGGUUGUAAAGGACUUUCAGCGGGGAGGCGUUACCUGGAGAAGAAGCACCGGCUAACUCCGUGCCAGCAGCCGCGGUAAUAC